GGGAGAGAGAGGACAAGAAAAUGCUGCCAGAAGAGCCUGCAGCUUCGUGCGCAUCUUUAGAGCGAUCAGCUGGCACCAGAUUUUUAUUUCUCUAGAUUUAGAUUUUGAACGGUAUCGGCAAGAAAAGAGGAACGAAAGGAAAGACUGGAACACGGGAUUUGAGGCGUUCUGGUUGGAGCAUGUGGAGAUCG